AGUGAACGCUGGCGGUAGGCCUAACACAUGCAAGUCGAACGGCAGCACAGUAAGAGCUUGCUCUUACGGGUGGCGAGUGGCGGACGGGUGAGGAAUACAUCGGAAUCUACUUUUUCGUGGGGGAUAACGUAGGGAAACUUACGCUAAUACCGCAUACGACCUACGGGUGAAAGCAGGGGAUCUUCGGACCUUGCGCGAUUGAAUGAGCCGAUGUCGGAUUAGCUAGUUGGCGGGGUAAAGGCCCACCAAGGCGACGAUCCGUAGCUGGUCUGAGAGGAUGAUCAGCCACACUGGAACUUAGACACGGUCCAGACGCCUACGGGAGGCAGCAGUGGGGAAUAUUGGACAAUGGGCGCAAGCCUGAUCCAGCCAUACCGCGUGGGUGAAGAAGGCCUUCGGGUUGUAAAGCCCUUUUGUUGGGAAAGAAAAGCAGCAGGUUAAUACCCCGCUGUUCUGACGGUACCCAAAGAAUAAGCACCGGCUAACUUCGUG
rnacentral:rRNA from 1 species